UGAGGAAUUUUCCGCAAUGGGCGAAAGCCUGACGGAGCAAUGCCGCGUGAAGGAUGAAGGCCUAUGGGUUGUAAACUUCUUUUCUCAGAGAAGAAAUUUUGACGGUAUCUGAGGAAUAAGCAUCGGCUAACUCUGUGCCAGCAGCCGCGGUAAGACAGAGGAUGCAAGCGUUAUCCGGAAUGAUUGGGCGUAAAGCGUCUGUAGGUGGCUUGAAAAGUCUCCUGUCAAAGAUCAGGGCUUAACCCUGGGCCGGCAGGAGAAACUCUUAGGCUAGAGUUUGGUAGGGGCAGAGGGAAUUCCCGGUGGAGCGGUGAAAUGCGUAGAGAUCGGGAGGAACACCAAAGGCGAAAGCACUCUGCUGGGCCAUUACUGACACUGAGAGACGAAAGCGAGGGGAGCAAAUGGG
rnacentral:rRNA from 1 species